UACGUAGGGGUCGAGCGUUGUCCGGAGUUACUGGGCGUAAAGCGUGCGCAGGCGGCUCAUUGCGCCCGGCGUGAAAGCCCCCGGCUCAACCGGGGAGGGUCGUCGGGGACGGGUGAGCUUGAGGGUAUCAGGGGUUGGUGGAAUUCCCGGUGUAGUGGUGAAAUGCGUAGAGAUCGGGAGGAACACCAGUGGCGAAGGCGGCUUACUGGUCCGGUUCUGACGCUGAGGCGCGAAAGCGUGGGGAGCAAACAGG
rnacentral:rRNA from 1 species